GGGUUGUGAGGUUAAGCGACUAAGCGUACACGGUGGAUGCCCUGGCAGUCAGAGGCGAUGAAGGGCGUGCUAAUCUGCGAUAAGCGCCGGUAAGGUGAUAUGAACCGUUAUAACCGGCGAUACCCGAAUGGGGAAACCCAGUGUGAUUCGUCACACUAUCAUUAACUGAAUCCAUAGGUUAAUGAGGCGAACCGGGGGAACUGAAACAUCUAAGUACCCCGAGGAAAAGAAAUCAACCGAGAUUCCCCCAGUAGCGGCGAGCGAACGGGGAGGAGCCCAGAGCCUGAAUCAGCAUGUGUGUUAGUGGAAGCG
rnacentral:rRNA from 1 species